GAAAAGAAAGCAAAAGCGAUUCCCCAAGUAACGGCGAGUGAACAGGGAUAAGCCUAGCGCUAAGGCUCAAUAGGAUGGUCAGUAGCAAUACUGAUUGUCUUUAACCGAAGAGGCUAUUGAGCGGUGCAGCGUUACAAACCGUGAUGUUUAGUGGUGCCAUUGGUAGUAAUCGGGCAACCGAUUGCUACUCCUAGCCUAGCAUGCAAGUUCCAUUGACUUGGACUAAUUGCAAAUGACUACAAGCUUGGGGUAACUUGGGCAUGUGGUUGAGCCAGAGCGGGUGUAAGCCCCAUACCGUGCAGGCAUUGGUAACACGAAUCGCGGACAUAGAUCCCUAAGUGGACCUAUGAAUUUGUUAGAGUCGAGUUGCUUGAGAGUGCAACUUAAAGUGCGAGGUAAACUACUCGUAAGGCUACUUUGAAAUAAGGCUACGACACCGAUAGCAAACAAGUACCGUGAGGGAAAGUUGAAAUAGAACUUUGCAGAGAGAGUUAACAGGGCGUGAAACCGUUAAUUGGCAAACGAAUCGGAGCCACGAAGUCGUUUCGCUGUUAGUUGGGGCCAAGUUCAGCUUAUGAUCCCGUCAAAAGGAUCAUCGGUGUAUUCUUGUGCCUAACCAAACAUUGUAAGCGUACACUGCAACCAGUUAGACGAUUGGCUAUGGGCCCAGUUGCUUGAUUUACGGGUUAAACCGUAGUUCAGGUAACGAAGUAUUUGUUUGCUCAAGUUAGUAGUAGCGAGGUGUGUUUCCUUCGGGUUAUUGCAUUCUUGUUGCUAAACUUGUUGCAAGUGAGCUAUGGCCAAAUACUGACUGGAACAAUGAAAACUACCCCUUGCGGGUAUCGAAUAAAACGCAGUUUGUUAUAUUGGUGCCUACAUUGCUAAACUGCUAGGUCUAAGCUCGGCACUUUUGAAUUCAGACUUGCUUGCUGUCAGUGGGGUAACUCCUGGCGCUUGUAUAGUUUCUGUCUAAUCGGGUGUUGACUUGGCCAAGUACUCGCUUUAGCAUGCUACGAUGGGGUAUUAAUAUAAACAAAUUCGCUAGAAUG
rnacentral:rRNA from 1 species